rnacentral:lncRNA from 1 species
CUUCCAUGGUGUAAAUACUCCCUCCAAGGCUGAUUUCAAGCUACCUGUGUGAUGGCAUUAAGGUGGAGAUAGGAAGAGAAGUGCACAAAGGGCUGUUAUCAGUCAGUGUGAGCCAGCUUAUCACUGACUCUGAGAAUUAGUAACAAUGUCUGUGCUCUCUAUUCACACUUAAUGACAUAAUUAAUCAAUGUGUUACUUAAAUAUGGCAGUGUGGGAAGCACUUAGACUUUUCAGCCAGGUCAGAGGAAACCCUGGCCACACUACUAAAUAGCUUCAUAUUCAUGUGGUCGCAGGCAACUUCAUCCUUUCUGAGCUUCAGUUGCCUUAUCUUUUAAAUGGAGAGAACAUCAUGAGAUCUGUGUUUUGAAGAAAAACAGAUACGAAAAACUCAAUCCAUGCCCUUCAACAAACAAUGUGCAGUUUAUUUAACACAGAAAAUUGGACAAGGACAAAAAUGAUCAUUCCACUAGAAGCAGAGAUGUACCAGUGCUAUUUACUCAGAGAGAAAAGGCCAUGUGAAGAUACAGUGAGAAGGCGGCCAUAUGCAAGCCAAGGAGAGGAGCCCCAGAAGAAACCAAACCUGCUGACAUCUUGAUCUUGGACUUCCAGCCUCCAGAACUGUGAGAAACUACAUUUCUAUUGCUUUAGCUACCCAAUCUGUGAUUGUAAUAUUUUUUAUGGCAGCUCUAGCAAAAAAAUAUACCAGAGAAAGUUACCUUUCCUGAAUUUCCCAAAACUUCUCACUGCUACUACUUCUUAGACUUAUAAGAAUAUAUAGACUUUGAAAGAUUCUGCUUCCACAAACAUCUUCAAAAUUCCCUAGGAAUGCAUAUGUUUUUACCCACAAAUUAGAAUUUAGGAAGACUUGCUGUUCUUUGCCAGUAUAAUAGCAACACGUGUGGGUCUGUCAACACAUGUGGAGCAACACAGGACUCUAAAAAUCUUUGAUAUUAAAGUUACUUGCCAAAGACAGCUUGGGCUACUAUCAUGGUCAGUGCUCCAUAGUGAUAGUUGUAUAAGAUCUGACAUAGCUGCUACUGUCUCAAAGGAGUAGGCAGGAAAUUCAGUACUGUCAUCAUAUGUUAGAGGUCGGUUCUACGGAAAAGAAUGGUGUUGCCACAACCACCAUUGUGGUAGUUGUUUUGGGGCAUAGAUCUCAGAGAAACUGGGCCUAAGUUCCUAUUCACAUAGACCUUAUCUAGUGAUAAGAGAAAAAAUUAAGUAAAUAUACAUCAUUAACAUGAGAGUAUUUUCAUGUAAUUGAGUCACUUAACCUAGUUUUAGAAGUUGGGGAAGAUUUUCUUGAAGAAACAAUUUUAAGGCCAAGGACAGAAUGAUGAGUAGAAGUCAACUACUUGAGCAGUCAACCAGUGAAGAGCACUGAUGAGCACAGAUCUUAGGAAACCUGGGCAACAAUGCCAAUAUGUUGAACCAUAGUGAACACACACAAUAGGGCUGGAGGAGCAGGUGGGAGAAAAGGAUGAAAGGAGUAUAUGCUAGGAGAAGACACGAAGAGAGCACAUGAAACAUGAUGCUUGCAAACCACUUUUCAUGUCUGGCAAAAAGGAAAAAAAGAGAAUUUACUUUGUAAUGCUUCCAGGUAAUUAAUUUAAUCACACCAAAUAAUUAUAAAACAAAUUACCUUGAAGCGAUGGUUUAAUGUGUGUAUUUGCAGUAAUUGAGUGGUCACCUGAGAUGGAUUCAAUUGGUUAUAUGAGAAUAUUUCUUUAGAGCUGUUGCAUUAACUGCCUGUAUUAGAUCUGUUGCUUGAAAUGUAUGCUGGUAGGAAAAAAGCACUUAAGGUAUUUGAAUGGGGCUAGACAAUGUCUUCAAAAUAUGUAAAACUCUAAUAGCCUUCUCCACUUGCCAGAAAAGAAUGAGAUCUCUUAAUUUGUUCCAGCCCCAGUCAUCAGCCCAAAGAAUUACAGCUCCUGAGACUCAUCAUUUGCCAAUCCUGAGAGAUGUCCAGAUUUGAGACUACUCAUACCAGAACUCCAUUAUGCUGACAUGUGCCUGGCCUUCAAAAUGAAGGUGGAAGUGUGUAGUUUUCUCUGCUGUGUUAAAUGCCCUAGUCAGGGCUUACAUAUAAGAACUAUCUGAGAAUGAUAGUGCAACAAAACAAGAAAAUAUAUCUUCAAUUCAUAUUGUUAUUAGAUAAACAUCCUUGCUUACUUUAAAAAUCAUUUCCAGGACAAAGUAGCCCUUGAGAGUCUUGACAGUCUGUGCCUCAACCACAAUCUAUUGUAACCCAGCCUGAUAAUUUCAGCAAAUGAAUCUUAGAUGCAAAUGUACCAGUAAUGCUUUUAGUCUACAAUUUAUUUCUGACAUUAUUGUCUACCCUAGAGCUGUUUAAAUUAUUUAAACUAGAAAAAUAGUGAUGGGUUUGAAAAUGAAAACUAAAUAAUCAAACAUGGCCAUCAAAAUACUCCCAGGUAAUCACUGGAUUCCUAAAGCAAAGAUAAUUGGUAAAAUCAGAUUUUGUUUGAAGUCCAUGUCAUCGUGAGCUACUUGGUCAUGCCUACAGUAAAGAUUCAAACAUUAUUGGUAAGAGAAGUUUUGAUGUGCCCAACUUUUACUCUCACCUUUUUCUCACCCAAACCUGAACUGAAAUUUUAAAAAUAAAAACAAUAAUAAAUCAAUUGCUUCUGGGCCACCAGCAUUGCCCAACCUUCAGCAAUGUAUUACUGAAGCAUUGACUAUAUAAAAGAUGUAUGUUAGGGGCAGCCUGGACAUGAUGGAUAAGACAAAGAUGAAUAAGAAAAACACUUUUUUUCCUCCAAGAAAAAUAUCAUUCAAUGGAAGAGAAAGGCUCCAUACAUAAUAAAUGUAAUACUGUGUCUGGAAUUGGUGGGUUCUUGAUCUCACUGACUUCAAGAAUGAAGCUGCGGACCCUUGUGGUGAGUGUUACAGUUCUUAAAGAUGGUGUGUCUGGAGUUUGUUCCUUCUGAUAUUCGGACGUGUUCGGAGUUUAUUCCUUCUGGUGGGUUCAUGGUCUCCCUGGCUUCAGGAGUGAAGCUGCAAACUUUCGCAGUGAGUGUUACGGCUCUUAAGGCAGCGUGUCUGGAGUUGUUCAUUCCUCCCUGUUGGUUUGUGGUCUCACUGGCCUCAGGAGUGAAGCUACAGACCUUCAUGGUGAGUGUUACAGCCAGUGCGGCCUCAAAGAGUGAGCAGCAGCAAGAUUUAUUGAAAAGAGCGAAAGAACAAAGCUUCCACAGCGUGGAAGGGGACCCGAGCGGGUUGUCGCUGCCAGCUGGGGCAGCCUGCUUUUAUUCCCUUAUCUGACCCCACCCACAUCCUGCUGACUGGCCCAUUUUACAGAGAGCUGAUUGGUCCAUUUUACAGAGAGCUUUUUGGUCCGUUUUGACAGGGUGCUGAUUGGUGCGUUUACAAUCCCUGAGCUAGACACAGAGUGCUGAUUGGUGUAUUUACAAUCCUCUAGCUAGAUGUAAAAGUUCUCCAAGUCCCCACUAGGUUAACUAGACACAGAGCACUGAUUGGUGCAUUUACAAACCUUGAGCUAGACACAGGGUGCUAAUUGGUGUGUUUACAAAUCUUGAGCUAGACACAGAGUGCUGAUUGGUGUAUUUACAAUCCUUUAGCUAGACAUAAAAGUUCUCCAAGUCUCCACCCAACUGAGGAGCCCAGCUGGCUUCACCUAGUGGAUCCUGCACCAAGGCAUCAGGUGGAUCUGCCCGCCAGUCCCGUACUGUGCACCCGCACUCCUCAGCACUUGGGCAGACGAUGGGACCGGGCACCAUGGAGCAGGGGGCGGCGCCCGCUGGGGAGGCUUGGGCCACGCAGGAGCCCAUGGAGGGGCAGGGCUCAGGCAUGGAAGGCUGCAGGUCCUGAGCCCUGCCCCGUGGGUAGGUGGCUGAGGCCCGGUGAGAAUUCAAGCAUGGCAUAGGUGGGCCAGCAGUGCUGGGGGACCCAGCACACCCUCUGCAGCUGCUGGCCCGGGUGCUAAGCCCCUCACUGCCUGGGGCUGGUGGUGCCAGCUGGCUGCUCUGAGUGUGGGGCCUGCUGAGCCCGCACCCACCCAGAAGUCACGCUGGCCCAUGAGUGCCACGCGCAACCCCGGUUCCCACCCAUGCCUCUCCUCCACACCUCCCUGUAGGCAGAGGGAACCGGCUCUGGCCUUGGCCAGCCCAGAGAGGGGCUCCCACAGUGCAGCAGCGGGCUGAAGGGCUCCUCAAGUGCGGCCAGAGUGGGCGCCAAGGCCGAGGAGGCACUGAGAGUGAGCGAGGGCUGCCAGCAUGCUGUCACCUCUCAAUACCAACAAUGAAUUAAUAAUAGUUGCUAAAAAUGAAGAAUUACAAGUGCUAUAAGACCAGGGCUUUGGUUUCAGUUGAUUAUAAAAAAAGAAAAAUGUAGAGAUAUUUUGCAUAAAGUGAAAUAUGUUUAAUUGAAGGAACUGAACUUAAUUCUAAAAUAAAGGUUUUUUCUGAUUUUUUUUUUCCUAGCCAAGUGCAGUAGUGAGAAGAGAGGAAAGAAUAGAGCAAGGAGUUGGAUCUGUAACUGGCUGAACAAUCAAUUGAGAUAACUCAUCAUCUUCAGAUCAGCCUUUUCCUGAUUUUUUUUAAGUGAAGAUAAUUCUUUACUUUAUGGAAAUAUGGUGAUAUAGAUGAUAAGGUGGGAAAUUCUGGGAUAUAUUUAGAUUCUCUGCUCUUAACUGGACAAGAACAUCUAAAUAUCUGAGACCCAAUGUUUUGAGAGCCAAAAAGGAGGACAUUGAAUAGCUGUGUAUAUUGAGCAUUUAAGAAGUCUUUAUAAAAGAGACAACUUUGAGCAUCUUGAUCUAUUUGAUGGCAGUAGUGGCCCAUCUGGAGUGGCAGCUGCAAGGACAUCAGCUGCAGCAGGGGAGGCACAGCCAGGGCUGCGCGAUCUGCAAAGAUGACAGGCGCUGGGAACAGGUGAUCCCAGUGGGAGCCCCACACCCUAUUUAGUUGGCAGAGACUGUGCUCCUGGGUGCAGCUGCAGCCACCCAGUCACAGCUCUGGAUCCAGUCAUCCCUGUACUCUCGGGGGCCUAGGAAGACCCCUGCACCCACAGGCUUGGAAGUGCCUGCUCCCACUCCCUGGCCUCUCCCUGCUCCCAGUGCUACUCUGCAGCAGAACAAAGUUGUGGACAUGUCCCGAUAGCUGAGCCCAGGCACUCUUGCUACCCAGCUGGGCAUGUGUGCACUUAGGGUGGUGCUGACAUACCAGUCUCCUGCUGGCUUGGCCUCCUCUGGAAACUGCUUCUGAGGCUAAAACAUUGGGUGCUGACGGUCAUGGGAGGGAGCCCAGGGGGCUGAGGGUGGCUUAGUAUGGGUUUGUGGGUGCCCCUCGGUGCAGACAUCCUGGACUCUGUGGAUGGCAUGUUGAUGGCAGUGGGAGGCAGACAGGUUCCUAGGCGGGAGGGGGCUGUUCCCCUGUGAAAUCCCACCUUCAAGCCAGGGACAGCCUGAAGCCUGGGCACUGGGCUUCCAGUUCCCAGUGGAGUCCACAACCUGGAGUGAGAACUUCCUUGAUGCCUUCUGUGACGAGAUGGUGCUUUUUCCAGGCCUGCCCAUGGCUGCCCAUGGACCAAUCAGCACAUACUUCCUCCCAUCCAUGGAUCAAUAAGCAUGACCUUCCUCUCUUUUGAGCCCAUAAAAACCCCUGGACUUAGUCAGACUCAGAUAUUCAUCAGCAAGACCUGCUUGCAGAUAGGAGCCACCCACUUCAGGUCUCCUCUCUGCUGAGAGGUGUUCUAUCAAUAAAGCUUUCUCCCUUGCUCACCUUCCAUUUGUCCACACAACCUCAUUCUUCCUGGACAUAGGACAAGAACUUGGGACCUGCUAAACACCAGGAAUGAAAGGAACUGUAACACAUUCCUGGCUGGCUCGCAGAGGUGCCAGUGGCAGCUAAAGGGGCUGUAAUAGGUUCCUGGAUGGCUUAUUGAGCUGCAGGCAGUGACACACUCCCAGACUGUGGGAGUGAAGGGUGGUGACUCUGCUGGGGGCCCAUACCUCAGGAUUCCCCCAAGCCAGAGCUGCUGUAACACUAUAGCUCUCUGGCCCUUUGCCAGCACUGGGCAGGCACCUCUUGCAACAAGAAGCAGUGGCAGGGCUUGGCCAGCCCAGGAGCUGCAGGCCUGGCUGAGGGCAGAAGGACUGAAAGAACUGUUACACAAACGGACUUAAAUACUCCUCCUGAAACAUGCCCUCCACCCUGCCUGCCACCCAGCUCGCUGCGCUGCAGGUGACAAGAAGGAAAGAAGAGCUGUAGCCCUUCUGAAACCCCAGACCUCAGGGCUCCCCAGGUCAGGGCUGUGACAUGUUGUAACAUCCUCUCUGGGGCUCUGUGGUUUGUGGCGUCUCCGAGCUUUCAAGUGCCAUUGCAUUCCUCUUGUCCAGAUGCUGGUGCCCACAGCAGAGGGUGCUUGCUCUAUGUCUGUUCCAGCUUCAGUCUUGCAUGUAGCUGGCACAUGUGCCAGUGCCUGGAGCUUCCCACCCCACCACAGCAGCCAGAAUGCCUGGCUGUGCACAGUGGCCGGCUUCCGCACCCACUCGCUUACACACUUCUUGCC